rnacentral:lncRNA from 1 species
CGCAUACUCAGUCUCAAUGGGAUUUCCUUAAGAGUCAAAACCCCGACAAUUGCAUGAAGCCGGAAGCUCAGCAAUCUUCUGAGGGCAUCUAUCUUGUUUUCUAAGAAGCAUUUUGGAGGUUUUUCUUUACCUGGAGAAAGCACUGGCUAGAGCUAUCUGAAAGCAACAGUGUGUUCAGCAAGCUGGAACUAAACUGUUACUGAAUGGAGAGUUCCCAUCCUGCCUCAGUGGAAUCAAAGAAAAGAGAAAGGCUCCAAAAUGAACACAAUGCGUGUUAUUUGCUACCAUAAACUGUGCAACUGGUUUCUACUGCUGUGUUGCAAUUGAAUAGUAAUCAGGAGAAGUUACACGUUGUUCUUAGAAAUAAUACAACGAAUCCUGUCAAUCUUAAGUCCUGACACUGAAUUUAACGCUCUCUGUUUAGUCCUACCAUCAAGGAUGAUUUGCAGGUGAAGAAUUCUUGAUAGUCAGAUGCAGACUACGUCUUCAGAUCCUAUGGCCUAAGGUUAUUAAGGUGGGAGAAGCAAAACAAAUGCGGUUCUCAUCCAGUAAUAAUGGAUUUACAAGAAUUUGAAACAAAACUUUCCUUCCAGCUACUGCUUUCAUGUCAGAG